UUUCUGCUUUGAUAGCACAAAAGCAGUAACUUGGGCUAAACUUCUGUUUCAAGUAAGAUUUGUUCUAUAUUUUUCUCAGGAAAAUGGCUUUGAUGAAUAUUUCAAGCACUUUGUAACUCUGGAAGUGACAACAAGAGAGAGAAGCUGAUUGUGCAGAAAUAAAAGCCAGGCUACAACUAAAGGUUUUUGGCAGUCCCUGCAGCAGUCCUUCAUCAGUGUGAAAGUGGAACACUAAAAGAACAAAUUGACAACAGCACCAGAAAAUAAAAUGAAAAUAUGUCACCAUUUAGUGAUGGUGUGAGAGUUAUUUCCUGCUAUCAUCAUUCAGAGGAGCAGGAUCACACUGCAAAACAGGCGAUGAAGGUAGCAGUUGUCCCUGGUGUAAGAGCAAAAGUAAAGGCGUAUAUGUUUGUAGACCAAUGUUAAGGGACAUAGAUACCACUGUGACAGGUGCAGUGUGAAUACAACAUACACUUGGAAACAAAAGUGAGACAUUGGAGGGAAGUGAAAAUGGAAAACUUUUUGGAUGCCAGGUGGAAAAUGAUAUUAAAACUGUCAAAAUAAGUCACAACAAAGACUGAGUUUCCUAGUAGGGUAGCAGGAGUCAUGUUCCAGAGGAGAAAUUGAGUUUUUAACUACAAGAAGAAACAUCAUAAAACUGAAUGAUUAUGAACAUGUAAGGUUAAACUGGGGCUUAUCUGUAAGGCUUUUUUGCUUUGGUCUGUUUUUUUUUCUUUCCAGUGUAUCAUAUCAGUCCUGAGUUUUGUGGACAGGUCAGAAAUGUGUAAAUACCACUAUUGCUUGAGUAGUUAUCUGUUCUGGGCCUAAUUCCAAAUGCAUUUAAAUUUAUGGCAGUCCUUCUGCUGGUAUCAGGGUUAUAGUUUAGGACCUAUGAUAGGAAGAAGGAGGUGCAAAAUAUACACAAGAAAGGUUGGUUACACGGCCUCUAAAUCUAUCUGAAGUGAUUUUCUAAAACAUGGGAAGAGAAUGAAGCUGAAGACUUUGAAGUACGUAUGUUUUAUGUUGCAUCAUAAUGAAGCUUUUAUAAUGUCAGCUGCAUACAUACAGAUUCUGUAGAUUAUGAAUAAUGUGGUAUCUGAAAUAUUAGCCCUAAAUUGAUGGAAUACAUACUCUUCCUUGAAUGAUUGCUUUGGAUUUGUUUUGAAUUAUUGUAUCAUAAUAGUUAUGACUAAUUUGCAGUUGCUAAGUAUAAAAAAAUUAUAUUGCUCUUGCAUGUAUGAUUUGUGGAUAAGAGUAGUUGUGUCAAGGACAGUUAUGGGAAUUAUAGGAAUCUGCUGCCUCUGAGGAUAAGGUCCAAUAAAGUCAAUGACCUAAUUAAUAUCAGGCUCAUCAUUAUAUUCAUUUAUCAGGAAGAUUUUAAUUUGCCAUCCAUCCUUACAACCUAUUACUGCUGUUACAGCCUUACCACUGAAGUACUUUUCAUGGCUGCACCUUUUGCAGGAAUCCAGAGCUGCAUAACAUGUGCUAUCUUAGGUGCUCA